UACGGAGGGUGCGAGCGUUGUCCGGAAUCACUGGGCGUAAAGGGCGCGUAGGCGGCUCAUGAAGGCUGUGGUGAAAGUCCGGGGCUCAACCUCGGAUCGGCCGUGGCGACUCGUGGGCUGGAGCACUGUAGAGGCGGGUGGAAUUCCGGGUGUAGCGGUGGAAUGCGCAGAUAUCAGGAGGAACACCAAUUGCGAAGGCAGCACUCUGGGACGUGACUGACGCUGAGACGCGAAAGCGUGGGGAGCAAACAGG
rnacentral:rRNA from 1 species